rnacentral:lncRNA from 13 species
GAAUAUAAUCGACGACAUAUUUAAAUAUUUGCUUUUUGAUUGAGUAAGCACCUUGUUGCCAACCCUAUACUCUUAUAUUUGCAUUAAAUUUUAGAAAAUUAUUUGGAAUAAAUUCUGUUUACAUUAUUAAAAAAAACAUUGCCAAUAAAAGUCAACUUGAGUGUGAAUUAUAAUUAUAGAUACAGUUUCUGAAGUUGCCAAAUUAUGUUCUUCACAGAUCCAUUAACAUUUCCCCACUUGUCUGUUGGCUGAUGUAGAUCCAGUGCCGUGAGGACUUUUGGCUACUCCGUUGAGUCUCUGCAGGUUGGCUGAUAUGUAUCAAGUUAAUUGCCGGCUAAUUCUGUAAUAGAUGUAUCCCAGGUCGCUCACUCUGACCUCAGCAGCUCUUCUAUGAAGUUGGAGCCAGUUCUCGGAAAGAAACACUGUCCGGGACAUGGAUGGAGCUGGAGGCUAUUAUCCUUGGGAAACUAACACAAGAACAGAUACAUGGAAGCUACCUGAGUGUGAAAGGAAGAAAAUAGUAGUCUACAAUGAAAUUCAAAAGGAGUGAAGAUGAAAUAUUGAAGCAGAAAAACAGGAAAAAGAGUUGUGUAAUUCAUGACUAAUGAAAUGAGGAACACACAGAGAAAUCACAUGGAGGAGAUUUGAAAACAUCUUUGACAAAGAACACAUUCCAGUUUUAAUAUUGAUCCAUUUCUAUACAUGAUGAUUGGAACAUCACUUAGUUUUGAACUGGUACCUUGUGGCACUUCCAGGGUGGCCCAUAAGCAGUCAUAGGUCUCUGUUGCACUUUCUCACUCAUGUCUGGAAAGUAGA